rnacentral:misc_RNA from 1 species
GAUGAAGAACGUAGUGAAAUGCGAUAAGUAAUGUGAAUUGCAGAAUUCAGUGAAUCAUCGAAUCUUUGAACGCACAUUGCGCCCGCCAGUAUUCUGGCGGGCAUGCCUGUUCGAGCGUCAUUACAACCCUCAGGCCCCCGGGCCUGGCGUUGGGGAUCGGCGGAAGCCCCCUGCGGGCACAACGCCGUCCCCCAAAUACAGUGGCGGUCCCGCCGCAGCUUCCAUUGCGUAGUAGCUAACACCUCGCAACUGGAGAGCGGCGCGGCCACGCCGUAAAACAACCAACUUCUGAAUGUUGACCUCGAAUCAGGUAGGAAUACCCGCUGAACUUAAGCAUAUCAAUAAGCGGAGGA